ACAUAAUCUCGGUCACAGUAUGAGCGCACUUGUUGGGUUCUACAGCUUUCAGAUUAUCAUGAUGGAGUUCUACAUUGAAUGCAUUCUGGCACAAGUUG